rnacentral:snRNA from 10 species
AAAACCUGAGUCUAUUCUUAGAUCAAGUUAUUUAAUAGAUAACUUGGACACCUAGAUAAUUUUUAAGGGAAAUAGAAUACUAAAAUUUGGUCACCCUACAUAUUUUGAAUAUAUACACUUUUUUUCUUAUAGUGGAUAUAUCUGUUGUUCAUGUUAAUGACUGUGUUUACCUUACUAAUGAUUGGGUUUACUCUGAUUUAAAGGAGUGAAAAAUGGAUGUGGGUGACUCUAGGAGGUGAUUUCAUUAGUUUUGUUAAUUUGCUAAACUGUGUAUAAUAGAUACUUCUACAUCCCCUUCUAGUUUUCUCUGUGAAAUAGAAAUCAGCUACUUUGACUGAAAGUUAGAAUUUAUACAAAUAAUCAAAGACUAUACUAAAGCAAUAGUAGCAGAAAAUUGUGACUAUGAAUGCGAGGUAAUGGAAAUAUUUUCUGUCUUAAACUAAAAGGUUUGGUUCUUCUAGAAUGCGAAAAAGAAUUGUGUAAAACAAAUCUUGAAUAGAUGUAGAAAGUUGUAAGUAGAAAACAAUUUAUUUGCCUCACUGCAAAUAAUGAGUUGAAAAAGAAACAAUAAAAUAUACUCAAAUGUUGGCAACGUUCCCUCAAUUUUGAUGAGUUUAUUUGUAAGAUUGUUUUGUUUUUUAAAUAGGACAGGCCAGGAGACGGAGGCUGCAGCCAACCAUAAGCAUGCCACUGCACUCCAGCCUGGGUGACAAAACAAGACCCUGUCUCAAAAAAAUACAACAGAAAUAGGGCAGGUUGUUCAGUUAGGCAGCACGUACACUAACAUUGGAAUGAUACAAGAAGGUUAGCAUGGCCUCUGCACAAGGAUGACACACAAAAUCAUGAUGUGUUCCAUUAAAAAAAAAUAGAGCAAGGAGCUAAUAAAUCCUUUCCUGCUAACUACUAUAUUAAUGUAAAACUAGAAUUUGGUUUUCUAUGUACUAAAAUAACAGUGUAUCUCAAACUGUUUGGUCUGCUCUUAACAAAGGGUAGUAAAAGUUUAUGCCUUUACAUUCUAUCUGGCCUGACAACAUAGCAGAAAUUCCAUAUCCCAUCAAAACAGUUUUCUGUGUUUUAUGGUCAUAUUUUCAAGCCCUUGAUUUUUAAGCAGCAAAAACUUAAAGUUCUUCAUUUGCUGAAAAGCUAAGACUCCUUUCUUUUGUGUCAUCAUAUUCUUGUUAUUUAAAAUAUUGUAUUGUCAUUUUGAUCAACAGAUAUUGAAUUUAUUGUUUCUCAGGCACAUCUGACCCUAUGUUAAUAGGUGAUCUAAAGUACUCCAAUAACUCUUGGUUUUGCUUUCCCACAAUCACAUCCUAGCUUCGGAAAAAUAAAAAUUAGAGGAUUUUCUUCACACAUAAAACUAUCUUUGAAAUUUCCCAUAAGACCCCUAGAAAAUCAUGAAGCUUUUUUCUUUUGUUUUACAAAAGUAGAGAUGUACCAAAUAAUUGUUUCCUUGACUUUUUUUCUUAGUUCAACACUAUUGUAAGAAUUGAUCAAAAUAGUA